rnacentral:rRNA from 1 species
UACGUAGGGUGCAAGCGUUGUCCGGAAUUAUUGGGCGUAAAGAGCUCGUAGGCGGCUUGUCACGUCGGAUGUGAAAGCCCGGGGCUUAACUCCGGGUCUGCAUUCGAUACGGGCUGGCUAGAGUGUGGUAGGGGAGAUCGGAAUUCCUGGUGUAGCGGUGAAAUGCGCAGAUAUCAGGAGGAACACCGGUGGCGAAGGCGGAUCUCUGGGCCAUUACUGACGCUGAGGAGCGAAAGCGUGGGGAGCGAACAGG